rnacentral:rRNA from 1 species
AGUGAACGCUGGCGGUAGGCCUAACACAUGCAAGUCGAACGGCAGCGCAGUAAGAGCUUGCUCUUACGGGUGGCGAGUGGCGGACGGGUGAGGGAUACAUCGGCACCUACUUUUUCGUGGGGGAUAACGUAGGGAAACUUACGCUAAUACCGCAUACGACCUACGGGUGAAAGCAGGGGAUCUUCGGACCUUGCGCGAUUGAAUGAGCCGAUGUCGGAUUAGCUAGUUGGCGGGGUAAAGGCACACCACGGCGACGAUCCGUAGCUGGUCUGAGAGGAUGAUCAGCCACACUGGAACUGGGACACGGUCCAGACUCCUACGGGAGGCAGCAGUGGGGAAUAUUGAGCAAUGGGCGCAAGCCUGAUCCAGCCAUACCGCGUGUGUGAAGAAGGCCUUCGGGUUGUAAAGCCCUUUUGUUGGGAAAGAAAAGCAGCAGGUUAAUACCCCGCUGUUCUGACGGUACCCAAAGAAUAAGCACCGGCUAACUACGUG